GACCCGCGCGCUCCAGUAGCAGCACACUGAUGACAGCAGGUUCAAAUCGUCUAACCCGGAACAGGUUUUAACACUUAGUAUGAUCAUUUUUCAAGUGUCAAAUGUCAUAUUUUUGUAGACAUGAUUUUUUUUCCACUUAUCCAGUUUGCUUUUAAGGUGAUAAAAAUACAAAAACUAUUUAUAAAAAGCGUUUACAGGUGACUUGGACGUGUUAUCAUUUUUUUGCUUUUUUCAAGUGCCAACAGUACGUUUUACACGUGUUCUUUACACCUCACCAGUGCGCAUAUACAGGUGAUUAGAACACUUGUUAUGGUCAUUUUUGCACAUGUUCUAUAUACCUGUCCAGUGUGCUUUUACAGGUGCUUAGAACGCUCUAACCCAGAGUCUCACUCCAGAGACUGGGUGGGCCGAGCCCCGGGGACAUACUGGUUGUUAUUAGCUAGCAACCUGUGGCUCUCCAAGCAGCUAGAGGUGUGCGUCUUUGAGGACUCCUCCUGUGGCAGCAUUCUGCACAUGACUUUGUUCCACUGUCUGAGGCCUCCCGCCCAGAACCGCUCCAACAUGUUCUCUACCUUCUUCGUGGAGUAUUUCAUCAACGGAGACUUAAUUUCAACCAGUAGAGAAUGUGAAAUGCUUUAUUGAAAGAAGUUAAUGAUCCAAAUGUUAUAAUUACAUAAUAUAUGCAUUAUAAAUAUAAUUGUAAUAUUAUAAAUACAAGUUCAAUCUGUACUUCAAUGCACAUCUGUUGUGCAUUAUAAAAACAGGAGGAAAGAAGUGUAAAAGACAAAGGGAAAGAACAGAGGAGCAGGGAAGACAUUAUAUGAUUAAUGAAUUACAGUGCUACCCUAAUAAUCUCUCAGAGACCGUUAGAGAAAAUAAGGUAGUUAAAGAGACAAGUGUUCAACAGGAAUCUGUGUGUGUGGCCACACCUGGUGUCCACAUGAAGUGGCUGCAAAGUAA